GUGCUCGCUUCAGCAGCACAUAAACUAAAAUUAGAACAAUAGAGAAGGUUAGCACGGCCGCUGCACAAGGAUGACAUGCAAAUUCAUGAAGCAUUCCAUAUUUUU
rnacentral:snRNA from 1 species